ACCCCCGACUGAAGAUUAACCCGUCCGUCUUGGUACGGCCGCUGAACUGACGCCUAUUAACUAAGUGGAAACAAUUAUUUCCUGCGUUGGAGUGGGAUACAGAUCUAUGGAACCAAGGACUUAUGCUUUGGAUUUGCUCGGGCAUUGCGGUUUUUAGCAAAGCUACGACGACAAACGUGGUUUAGGUUGGAGAAUGAUGUUUCUUUGUGGAUUACACUUUCGCAGGAAUUCCAAUAAGGACUUGGCAGAUCUUAGAUGGAGAAUUCUAAAAAUCACAUAAAUUCACAGAAAGACCAACCACAAUGCUGAAUAAUGCGACAGGGCAGUGGUCUCCAAGCGCCUAGCGACAGUACUGCGCGCCAGUGGACGGAGCCCGCAUCGAAGCCAGUUGUCGUCUCACAAUGGGACGAAGUUGUGGUUUUUUCUGGUUUUUCGUGCGGUUCGCGGCUCUCGUGAAACCCAUCGAGUUUCCCGACGUUUUACGAAUGUGAAUCCCCAGCGGGCACAGCGUUCACAGGAACAGGAUAGUUCCCGAAGGAUUCGAAGCAGCUUUGGUGUGACACUGGGCGGUGUCAGGUUAGGUUUCGAAGGUAAGU